ACCGCCGAUCUCGCCAGCCGUUGUCUCCGGCGUCUCGCCCUCGCAAUCGGUUUGUUCUCCUCUCUCUUACGCCAUUAUAAAACUUAGAGAUUCUUUCUUAGUUCCUCAAUCUUCCGAUGGAUAUCAACAAUAAUUACCACCGCUCCGACGACGACGACAACGCUCCGACGACGACGACAACGCUCUCUCAGUCACCGGAUGUCCUGCAUAAACGAUUCGAAGUUUCAGAUCAUUGUCAAAGAUGUGAUCUCAAGAUGGAUCAUCACAGUCUUUGGAUUUUUAAUUGUGAUGCCACUAAAGACGCCCAUGGAAUCUGCUUGUUAAUUGAGUGGGAUGAAUGUAAGACGCUUGACUAUGAGAGGAUUUUUGAAAAGAUGUAGAAACCAGCGUUUGUCUUUGAUGGUAUAGAAAUGUUGUUGAUGUAGAGAAGCUGGGAAGAUAGGAUUUAUUGUUUACUCUAUUGGUAAGUCAUUGGACCAAUGGAUCAAGGAUAUGCAUGCUCUUGCUUAGAUUUGAGUAUUUGCCCAUUCUCAAGAUUUGGAAUGUUUUUGGGUUAUAUCAAA